rnacentral:rRNA from 1 species
AUGAACGCUGGCGGCGUGCCUAAUACAUGCAAGUCGAGCGAACAGACGAGGAGCUUGCUCCUCUGACGUUAGCGGCGGACGGGUGAGUAACCCGUGGAUAACCUACCUAUAAGACUGGGAUAACUUCGGGAAACCGGAGCUAAUACCGGAUAAUAUAUUGAACCGCAUGUUUCAAUAGUGAAAGACGGUUUUGCUGUCACUUAUAGAUGGAUCCGCGCCGCAUUAGCUAGUUGGUAAGGUAACGGCUUACCAAGGCGACGAUGCGUAGCCGACCUGAGAGGGUGAUCGGCCACACUGGAACUGAGACACGGUCCAGACUCCUACGGGAGGCAGCAGUAGGGAAUCUUCCGCAAUGGGCGAAAGCCUGACGGAGCAACGCCGCGUGAGUGAUGAAGGUCUUCGGAUCGUAAAACUCUGUUAUUAGGGAAGAACAAAUGUGUAAGUAACUAUGCACGUCUUGACGGUACCUAAUCAGAAAGCCACGGCUAACUACGUG